rnacentral:rRNA from 1 species
AACGAACGCUGGCGGCAUGCCUAACACAUGCAAGUCGAACGAAGCCUUCGGGCUUAGUGGCGCACGGGUGCGUAACGCGUGGGAAUCUGCCCUUUGGUUCGGAAUAACAGUUGGAAACGACUGCUAAUACCGGAUGAUGACGAAAGUCCAAAGAUUUAUCGCCAGAGGAUGAGCCCGCGUAGGAUUAGCUAGUUGGUGUGGUAAAGGCGCACCAAGGCGACGAUCCUUAGCUGGUCUGAGAGGAUGAUCAGCCACACUGGGACUGAGACACGGCCCAGACUCCGACGGGAGGCAGCAGUGGGGAAUAUUAGACAAUGGGCGAAAGCCUGAUCCAGCAAGGCCGCGUGAGUGAUGAAGGCCCUAGGGUUGUAAAGCUCUUUUACCCGGGAUGAUAAUGACAGUACCGGGAGAAUAAGCCCCGGCUAACUCCGUGCCAGCCGCCGCCGUAA